UACGAAGGGGGCUAGCGUUGCUCGGAAUCACUGGGCGUAAAGGGUGCGUGGAGGCGGUUACUUAGUAGGGGUGAAAUCCUGGAGCUCAACUCCAGAACUGCCUUUGAUACUGAGAUCUUGAGUUCGGGAGAGGUGAGUGGAACUGCGAGUGUAGAGGUGAAAUUCGUAGAUAUUCGCAAGAACACCAGUGGCGAAGGCGGCUCACUGGCCCGAUACUGACGCUGAG
rnacentral:rRNA from 1 species